rnacentral:lncRNA from 1 species
CAGUCAUUCCCAAAAAAUGGGUACAAUUACAAAAUUACAGUGUCGCCGGCAAAUAACCACAAAAUGCAAGCUUAACAUAUGUCACAGAUAAUCUUUUUCGUGUUCUAAGUGAUUAAUAUGUAUACUAAAAUAAAAUUAUAUUCUUUUGUGAUGUAUAUCUUAAAUAUAUUUGUGUGAUUUUCUAUUUAAUAUACGGGUAUCACACGAAUUCCGAAUGUCGCCAAGAAAAACUCCAAAUAUCGGUGUGAAUUAAAAUACUUUAUUUCAUCUAAAUCAUGAUUAGAUUUGCUUUUUUUAUUUGACACUAUAUUGAUUUUUAUCCACAAAAAUAUUUUAGAAUCAAAAGUUAUAAUAUACACUUAGAUUUACCCAUUAAACCAAUGUCGCCGAUAAACGUAUAACCUACCGUAACGUAUCUUUAGGUACAGUCAAAACAUAUUUAUAUGAUUGGAAAUCAUGCCCAAAGUGACUUUAAGCAAAGUUGAUACAUCAAAUUUUAAAAUCCUGCCUUUAACUUUUAUUGCAAUGAAACGAAAAAUUAAAAAAAAUCUUCUUUUUCUCUUUUUUUCGAUUGUCGCAUAUAAGAAUCCAACCUACGUAACGCGUAUUUUGGAACGUACUAACCAAGAACAAAUCAAUUUGAUGAUUAUUUCAUUGAAAUCACCCAUAAAGCUUCUCAAUAAUCAGUUUUGAGAAAGCAACUCAACAAUAUUGUUACAUAUUUCCAUGUAUAAUGUAAAUAAAUCUAACCUCCGUUUGAAUAACCUCCGUGACGCAGUUAUUUACAGUUAAGUUGUCAGACUUUUUUAUCAGUAUCAGCGGCUGCUGACACUGCCGAAAGUCAUUUUUGUAGCAGACAGCAUUUAUUAUAAAGGAAACAGACAAACAAAAUACAGAUUUUGAGAAAAAAAAUGUUGUUUUGAGAAAGGUAGGUUAACUUCAUUUUUCCUUUUAUGUGAGCAACA